ACUCCUACGGGAGGCAGCAGUGGGGAAUAUUGGACAAUGGGCGCAAGCCUGAUCCAGCCAUGCCGCGUGAGUGAUGAAGGCCCUAGGGUUGUAAAGCUCUUUCACCGGUGAAGAUAAUGACGGUAACCGGAGAAGAAGCCCCGGCUAACUUCGUGCCAGCAGCCGCGGUAAUACGAAGGGGGCUAGCGUUGUUCGGAUUUACUGGGCGUAAAGCGCACGUAGGCGGACUAUUAAGUCAGGGGUGAAAUCCCGGGGCUCAACCCCGGAACUGCUUUUGAUACUGGUAGUCUUGAGUUCGAGAGAGGUGAGUGGAAUUCCGAGUGUAGAGGUGAAAUUCGUAGAUAUUCGGAGGAACACCAGUGGCGAAGGCGGCUCACUGGCUCGAUACUGACGCUGAGGUGCGAAAGCGUGGGGAGCAAACAGGAUUAGAAACCCUUGUAGUCCCAUG
rnacentral:rRNA from 1 species